rnacentral:rRNA from 1 species
GGACUACUGGGGUAUCUAAUCCUGUUUGCUCCCCACGCUUUCGCACCUCAGCGUCAGUCUCUGUCCAGGUGGUCGCCUUCGCCACCGGUGUUCCUCCCAAUAUCUACGAAUUUCACCUCUACACUGGGAAUUCCACCACCCUCUCCAGGACUCAAGCUCUCCAGUUUCGAAUGCACUUCCACGGUUAGGCCGUGGGAUUUCACACCCGACUUAGUGAGCCGCCUACGCGCGCUUUACGCCCAGUAAUUCCGAACAACGCUUGCACCCUCUGUCUUACCGCGGCUGCUGGCAC